GCCGGCGUAGCUCAUUAGGUAGAGCAGCGCACUCGUAAUGCGCAGGUAGGCGGUUCGAGUCCGCCCGCCGGCUCCA
rnacentral:tRNA from 2 species